AGUGAACGCUGGCGGUAGGCCUAACACAUGCAAGUCGAACGGCAGCACAGUAAGAGCUUGCUCUUACGGGUGGCGAGUGGCGGACGGGUGAGGAAUACAUCGGAAUCUACUUUUUCGUGGGGGAUAACGUAGGGAAACUUACGCUAAUACCGCAUACGACCUACGGGUGAAAGCAGGGGAUCUUCGGACCUUGCGCGAUUGAAUGAGCCGAUGUCGGAUUAGCUAGUUGGCGGGGUGAAGGCCCACCAAGGCGACGAUCCGUAGCUGGUCUGAGAGGAUGAUCAGCCACACUGGAACUGAGACACGGUCCAGACUCCUACGGGAGGCAGCAGUGUGGAAUAUUGGACAAUGGGCGCAAGCCUGAUCCAGCCAUACCGCGUGGGUGGAGAAGGCCUUCGGGUUGUAAAGCCCUUUUGUUGGGAAAGAAAAGCAGCAGGUUAAUACCCCGCUGUUCUGACGGUACCCAAAGAAUAAGCACCGGCUAACUUCGUG
rnacentral:rRNA from 1 species